UACGAAGGGUGCAAGCGUUACUCGGAAUUACUGGGCGUAAAGGGUGCGUAGGUGGUUUGUUAAGUCUGCUGUGAAAUCCCCGGGCUCAACCUGGGAAUGGCAGUGGAUACUGGCAAGCUAGAGUGCGGUAGAGGGUAGUGGAAUUCCCGGUGUAGCGGUGAAAUGCGUAGAGAUCGGGAGGAACACCAGUGGCGAAGGCGGCCUUCUGGACCAGCACUGACACUCAAGCACGAAAGCGUGGGGAGCAAACAGG
rnacentral:rRNA from 1 species